AUCAGUACAUAAAUUUAAGGUACUUUACUCCCGACAGAAUCAGAAUCAAAUCAGCUCGAUCGCAAAGCUUUUGCUACUUCCGACAUAAUAUGUUCUAACGCAAAAUCAUGCUGCGGCUCAAUGUGGAACUAAUUCGAUCUCAACGGCUUUUCCCACCCCUGCUACUACUAUACUAGCUAUACUAGCGCACUGUGGUGCUGCGGCUCAAUUUGGAACUAAUUCUACUCGUAAAUCAAAAUCAUAUCAGUUUCGGUGGUAAGGCUACAGG